rnacentral:rRNA from 1 species
UACGGAGGGUGCUAGCGUUGUUCGGAAUCACUGGACGUAAAGGGCGUGUAGGCGGUCUGUUAAGUCUGAUGUGAAAUCCCCUCGCUCAACGAGGGAACUGCGUCGGAUACUGGCAGACUUGAGUACCGGAGAGGAAGGUGGAAUUCCCGGUGUAGCGGUGAAAUGCGUAGAUAUCAGGAAGAACACCCGUGGCUAAGGCGGCUCUCUAGUACGGUACUGACGCUGAGACGCGAAAGCGUGGGGAGCGAACAGG